UACGGAGGGGGCUAGCGUUGCUCGGAAUGACUGGGCGUAAAGGGCGCGUAGGCGGCUUGUAUAGUCGGAUGUGAAAUUCCUGGGCUUAACCUGGGGGCUGCAUACGAGACGUAUGGGCUUGAGUGCGGAAGAGGGUCGUGGAAUUCCCAGUGUAGAGGUGAAAUGCGCAGAUAUCAGGAGGAACACCGGUGGCGAAGGCGGAUCUCUGGGCCAUUACUGACGCUGAGGAGCGAAAGCGUGGGGAGCGAACAGG
rnacentral:rRNA from 1 species